GGGGAGGGCGGGCGGGAGGCGGAGGGGAUGCAGGGCGAGCGGGGGAAGGGAGCUGGCUCGUGGAUUCAGCGGCGGACGGGUGAGGAAUGCCUAGGAAUCGGACUGGUAGUGGGGGAUAACGUCGGGAAACGGGCGCUAAUACCGCAUACGUCCUGAGGGAGAAAGUGGGGGAUCUUCGUACCUCACGCUAUCAGAUGAGCCUAGGUCGGAUUAGCUAGUUGUUGGGGUAAAGGCCUACCAAGGCGACGAGCCGUCACUGGUCUGAGAGGAUGAUAAGUCACACUGGAACGGAGACGCGGUCCAGGCUACUACGGGAGGCCGCAGUGGGGAAUAUUGGACAAUGGGCGAAAGCCUGAUCCAGCCAUGCCGCGUGUGUGAAAAAGGUCUUCGGAUUGUAAAGCAGUUUAAGUUGGGAGGAAGGGCAGUAAGUUAAUACCUUGCUGUUUUGACGUUACCAACAGAAUAAGCACCGGCUAACUUCGUG
rnacentral:rRNA from 1 species